AUUUGGUGUUGGGGGCACUUGAUGCACAACUUCUUGAAUCGCUCCUAUGAAUCAUAAAGCGACUCCCUGGAUGCUGCUUGAUACCACAGAUCUCUUUUCUUAAACU